GGGGAUCUGCCCGAUAGAGGGGGAUAACCACUGGAAACGGUGGCUAAUACCGCAUAACGUCGCAAGACCAAAGAGGGGGACCUUCGGGCCUCUCACUAUCGGAUGAACCCAGAUGGGAUUAGCUAGUAGGCGGGGUAACGGCCCACCUAGGCGACGAUCCCUAGCUGGUCUGAGAGGAUGACCAGCCACACUGGAACUGAGACACGGUCCAGACUCCUACGGGAGGCAGCAGUGGGGAAUAUUGCACAAUGGGCGCAAGCCUGAUGCAGCCAUGCCGCGUGUAUGAAGAAGGCCUUCGGGUUGUAAAGUACUUUCAGCGGGGAGGAAGGCGAUGUGGUUAAUAACCGCGUCGAUUGACGUUACCCGCAG
rnacentral:rRNA from 1 species